GUCCAUUCUUCAGGGACAGGAACUGUUUUAUACUCUGCCUUUCUCACAGCCUACCUGGCACUGUACUGUUCACAUAGUAGAGGUGUUGAUCUCUGUUGAAUGAAUGCUGAGCUGUAGUCUCAAAGGUUACUGAAGACAGCAGAACCCUUCCUACGAAUCUUUGUACCUUUUGUCAUAGCUAUUGUUUUUGAGGCACUCAAAUCUAUUUUUUUUUUCUUGACUAGUA